UACGUAGGGUGCGAGCGUUGUCCGGAAUUAUUGGGCGUAAAGAGCUCGUAGGCGGUUUGUCGCGUCUGCCGUGAAAGUCCGGGGCUCAACUCCGGAUCUGCGGUGGGUACGGGCAGACUAGAGUGAUGUAGGGGAGACUGGAAUUCCUGGUGUAGCAGUGAAAUGCGCAGAUAUCAGGAGGAACACCGGUGGCGAAGGCAGGUCUCUGGGCAUUAACUGACGCUGAGGAGCGAAAGCAUGGGAGCGAACAGG
rnacentral:rRNA from 1 species